UACGUAGGGACCAAGCGUUGUUCGGAUUUACUGGGCGUAAAGGGCGCGUAGGCGGCAUGUUAAGUCAGCUGUGAAAUCUCCGAGCUUAACUCGGAACUGUCAGCUGAUACUGAUAUGCUAGAGUGCAGAAGGGGCAAUCGGAAUUCUUGGUGUAGCGGUGAAAUGCGUAGAUAUCAAGAGGAACACCUGAGGUGAAGACGGGUUGCUGGCUGACACUGACGCUGACAGCGCGAAAGCCAGGGGAGCAAACGGG
rnacentral:rRNA from 1 species